UCGGUGAUGAAGGGCAAGCGAGGUUCCUACCCAUGGGCUCUGGCAAGGUGAGAUAUUUAUUAGUUACCUUGCUCGCCUCCUGUUUGAUGAAAGGUCUAUGAGCUGAUCCUGCUGCGUUUCAUGUCCUACAGAUCUUGAAUUCAUGAUAAACAUUUUUAAAUGAUGUAGUUGCUACACAUGGAAAUCCAAGGAAAACAUAUAUCUCACUGAUGGAUUUGCAGUAUGCCUAAUCUUGGACGUGUGCAAACCAACAUAGUUGUGAAUGAGCUCUGCUAGAUUGUCUCAGCUCAUGCCAUGAGCGUUGGUAGUGUGUCACUGCAAUGCGUAAUGUCCAUUCCUUCUGCCUUUUUCCUUUCUGUACAUUUGGAGAAAAAUGCACACAUGUUAUUUCUGCAUUUGACAAUUCCAUUUAGGUGUAAAAACCUGGCUUUGUUUUGUUCCUUUUUGUUCUCUGUACAGUUUUUGCACUGACCAAUGAACUGUGAUGUCCAUGAAUGCUAUUAAGGCACUGUUGAACUCCGCCUUUUCCUAUCUGUACAUUUGGAGAAUAAUGCAUACAUGUUGUCACAGCAAUUUUUUGUUGGGGUUCACAUGUUGUGACUAUAUGUAUGAGACUGACAUAGUAAGUUUUCCCCUUUACAGGAAGAUUAAAAGUUAAGUUUUCUGACGGUGAGUUAUGUGUGGUUUGAGGGGUUGCAGCUUGCCUAACAGAGGUUCCCUAAAAACGAUGUUUCGGGAAAAGUAAGCAGUAUUCUCCUCGACCGUCCGAUUUGUACGUGGCCCCUUCUUGUCCCAUGUUGCUCUGCUUAUUCCCCUGAUUCUUUUUUUUCAUUUUUUCUUUUCUUAUGAAUUGUCUAAGACGCCUGCUUCGGUGCUCCGGUUUGUUAUUUGCAGGUGCUGAUCGUGCUGCAAGUUGAUGCCUGGGUUUACAACUGGUGGUUUUUCCAUUCCUUAAUCCUCAUGUCUUCUUGUGUGUGUGUGUCACAUGUGCUUACAUCUAGGUUUGAUGCGAAUUUUCUUUUUACAGGGUGCUAGCCACUGUAGUUCUGUUUGUUUGUUCGUAGGACACAGAUGACAAACGGUGAUAUUGCGGUCUCUUUACCUUCAUAUUCUUGUCUUGGUUUUGUUUCUUUCUGCGUGUAUCUACGCCAUGGCUGAACAUUCUUUACUCAUUGAUAUGUGUAUUCACGGGUUUGUUCUUCUUCUAGAGAAUUAAGUUGGUGAAAUUGUUGGUGACUUUUAUUAUUGUUAAUUGCUCAGAGUGAUUGUUCUCAAAGUAGUCUUGAACAAUUAAUCAUUUGCAGGUAUUUAUCUAACCUUUAGUGGCUUCAGUUUCCUGUCAUCUUUCUUUUGGAAAUGGAAAUUGUUGUUGCUUCCCAGGUCAGCUGAGGUGAUAACUGAACCCUCUUAUACUGUAGAACAGAUUCAGUAUUCGCUUAUAUUCUCAUGAGCUCAAGGAUAGUUUUCUUUGUGUUGUUGUGGCUAUGGACAGCUGUCGAAAAAAGAGAAGACGAUAAGCGAGACUACUACAGCGAGAGAGACGGCGGCCAAUAUUGUGUUAGUUGCCUGCUUUAUGCAAAACUAAAACAAGUGAGACUGAAAUGCUUUGGCAUGUAUUGGCUAAAUUAGAACGUAGUAUGAGAUUGGCAUAUGCAGGAUAACACUACAAGUUGACACACAUAGCAUGUAUUGGCUAAAUUAGAACGCAUGAGAUUAUCAUAUGCUUUCUCAAAAAAGAAGAAGAGAGAUUGACAUAUGCAGGAUAACACUACAAGUUGGCACACCUAGGCAAUUGAUUAAUUUUUUUUGUUUUGUCUCUUUGCAUAGUGCCCAGGUAGUGUUUGCACAGAUUAUUUGUUAAAUUGUUAAGAUGUCUCUUUCUUUAUCAGCAUGUACAAAAGGUUCAGCAAAGUGGGACUCCCAAGUCUGCAACCACAAUAGAAAUAAGGCCAUGGAGCAAGAGUUCUGUUGGGCAUCCUUUGCAUUUAUCUUGUCAGGUUCCAUGCUUCAUAGCAUGUGUAUAAGCAUAGAAGUACACACAUACACUGCAGUUCGUAAUGUCACUUAAUAGGGGAUGCAUUAGGGUACUUUAUUUCCAUUAUAAACUGAUAAUAAUUAUGAGUUUAGAAAGGUAACAAUAAUCUGGGUUAUAGCAGAAUAUUAAAUGUGGUAUGCUUGUAUGAGUAGAAAAUGCAGAGUUUAUAAAUGAACUAAAAUUUGUGAGCAGGAAGUGGUAGGUUUAAUUUCAGUUAGAAAAAUAGGUGUACUGCAGCAUCAUAUAUUCAGGUAAUCCCUUGAAUUUUUUUGCCAUGUUCAGGCUUUAUACAUCGUUUGUAUAUGCAUAAAGUACGCCACAUGAACUGGAGUUCGUAGUGUCAGGAGUAAGAGGGGUGCAACUAAGUAGUAGCAUGUUACAGGAUAAGAACAGCUGUUUAGUUUAACAGUGCCCUUUAACAGUUUAACUCCAAAGAGGUCGAUAUAUCUGAACUCUAGAGUAUAAGAUGCAUGUUCCUACUCUUCCUGAGAUCACGGUUAUCAUAACUAUUUAUUUGAGAUAUGCGAAGUGUUCCUUUGAUAGUAGAUGCAACUUGCAGCUAUUGUGGACAUUCGUUUGUUCGUGGGAAGUUUUGUCUCUUCCCUACAGUCAAAGCUCAUGUGCAAUUUGGAGAAAAUGCACACAUGCUAUCGCUGCAUUUGGCGGUUCCUUUUAGCUAAAAAAACCUGGCUUUGUUUUGUUCCUUUUUGUUCUCUGUUUAUUACUGUUAAUUGCUCAGAGCGAUUAUUCCCAAAGUAGUCUUGAAUAAUUAAUCAUUUGCAUGUAUCUAACCAAUAGCGGCUUACGUUUCCUGGUCAUUUUUCUUUUGGAAAUGGAAGUUAUUGCUUCCUAGGUGAGCUGAGGUGAUAACUGAACUCCCUUCUACUAUUGAGAAGAUUCAGUAUUCACUUAUAUUUUCAUUAGCCCAAGGAUAGUUUUUAUUGUGUUGUGGCUGUGGGCAGCUACCGAAAAAAGAAAAGAGGAUGAGCGAGACUACUGCAGUGAGAGAUGGUGGCCACGAGAGCUAUGGAUGCAGGAGAGGGUUCAUGUUGUUUAUAUAGUUCCUCUAGGCCGUGUGUCUUUCCAUCCCCCGCUCCAGGAGAGGGUUCAUGUUGUUUAUUUUAUUAGUCGAAUAUGAUAUAAUAUGAGAUCACCUACCAUCGUCAUUCUUGAUUACAGUCUCAUACAAAAGUAGUCCAGUUAGUUGUACUAAUUCAUAUAUAUUUUUGGUAUGGUUCUUAUUUGGUUUCAAUACACAGAAAUUUGAAAGGCAUAUAAGAGAAAAAUCCAUGGCAUCACUUCAAAUUGUGAUCUUUAUUUGGUUAGCAAGGCCUUCCUUUGGUGGCUAUGUUUUUUUUUCAAUUGUGAUGUUUGAAACAAUUUUUUUAUACUAAUAAUGAUCUAGAAUACAACAGACCAAUGAUUUAUACAAAGAGACACAAUGGGAGUUGACCGGAAACCUGGCUUCUGAAAGGACUGAUAUAUACAAAAUAUUAUUUGACUAGAACAGGAGAGAUGCAAUCUUAUGGAUAAUUCAACAUUUGCAAGAAACUUCCCAGCUUAGCCCUCCUAUUGCUCACCUAAAGAUUUAUUUCCUUCGUUUCAGUGCCUGCUUUUGAUGAUAUGAAACUAACAAGGCAGAAGGUACUUCUCAUGGUUAAUUUAUUAUAUUUUUGUAGAAACUGGAUAAAGAAAAUACCGUGCACUUUCUUAUAGUCUUUUGGCUGCCCUGUUGUUUUGGCUUUCUUUUAGGACAGAGGGCACACAAUGCUUAACAGGUGAUCUAAAUUCAUAGUCAUCGGUUCUUACCAUGUGCCUGUUAUUUUAUUUUGCAUUUUUUAUGCAUCACAUCGUUUCCUUUAUAACAAGUGAUCUGAAUUCAUGGUCAUUGGUUUACUGACCGUUGGCAGCUUUUCUGUUUCUUCAUGACAAGAAAACCAUAUAGCGCUUGUACGCUUUAGCCUUGUCCUGGUUACUAGAACUGCUUCGAUGUUGCUCUAUUAUAAGUGCCUUGCUUGCACCAGUACUCAUGGUUGUCUUUUCUGAGCCUAUAAAAUCUUUGAUGGAGCAAACUCCUAUGGUUGCUGAUCCAUCACAAUAUUGACCAUGAACUUUGUGCCCAUCUCCGAGGUUAGUAAUUCCAGAAUUCGAGUUGCACGUACUGCCGUAGAGAGUAAAACGUGUCGUGCUGAUGCUCUCUACGACACUAACUCAUGGAUCAAUGUUUAUCUCUGUGUUUGUCUGUGUUUUGUGUUAGAUUAUUUUGUGUAUACCCCUCCUAAAUACGAGUCUUUUUAGAAAUUUCACUAUGGACUACAUACGGAGUAAAAUGAGUGAAUCUACACUUUAAUAUAUGUCUACGCACGUAGUUUGUAGUGGAAUCUCUAAAAAGACUUAUACUGUAUUUAGAAACGGAGGGAG
rnacentral:lncRNA from 1 species